AAACGUAAAAAACGCAAACGAAAAUAUUACAGCAGCAGCAGUAGCAGCGAAAGUGAU
rnacentral:sRNA from 13 species